ACCUUGAAAAUGACUUCAGGUUUUCUCACUGCGCAGAAUAUAGUCAAACACUGAUACAGGCUGCUGUGCUACUGGAAAUCGCUCACAACAAUAGUCGCAAGUACAGAACAAACUACACGAAAGGGGAUUUGUGACGGAAAUAGUGUAAAAUGGGAAUCCCCAAAGAAACAACAUGGGAAUUAUUAAGAAAAUUAUUAUCUAUCCACACAAUGACAGUAUUGUGUUGUCAUUAAAAGUUAUAUUGAUGAAAA